rnacentral:lncRNA from 1 species
UGGUGAAAAUGUCUUUUAUUUUUUUAGAGAGAUAAGUAGCACGCUACCCGCUUCGUUUUAUUUCAUUUAGAAAUAAACUUAGCUAGAAAUAUGAAUCAACUAGGAUUCGAACUUGGGUCUCAGGUACCAACCACCAAACCCUUUGCCACUUGCUCUAGGGACGGUCGGUUCCAUAGUGAAAAUGUCAUCCUACGAAAAGUCUAGCAGGAAGUGAAUCCGGUUUAAGGGUGAGGGGUGUUUGGACUAGCUUUUAUAAAGUGAAUUUCAAAUCAAAAGUGAAUUUU